ACGCUCGACACCUACGGGAGGCAGCAGUGGGGAAUAUUGGGCAAUGGAGGCAACUCUGACCCAGCAACGCCGCGUGAAUGAUGAAGGUCUUCGGAUUGUAAAGUUCUGUGACGGGGGACGAACACAAUGACGGUACCCCGAUAGCAAGCCACGGCUAACUACGUGCCCGCAGCCGCGGUAAUCUGAGCGGCUGGCAAGGC
rnacentral:rRNA from 1 species